rnacentral:rRNA from 1 species
AUUGAACGCUGGCGGAAUGCUUUACACAUGCAAGUCGAACGGCAGCACGGACUUCGGUCUGGUGGCGAGUGGCGAACGGGUGAGUAAUACAUCGGAACGUGCCCGGACUGGGGGAUAACUACUCGAAAGAGUGGCUAAUACCGCAUACGAUCCAAGGAUGAAAGCGGGGGAUCGCAAGACCUCGCGCGUUUGGAGCGGCCGAUGGCAGAUUAGGUAGUUGGUGAGGUAAAGGCUUACCAAGCCUGCGAUCUGUAGCUGGUCUGAGAGGAUGAUCAGCCACACUGGGACUGAGACACGGCCCAGACUCCUACGGGAGGCAGCAGUGGGGAAUUUUGGACAAUGGGCGAAAGCCUGAUCCAGCCAUUCCGCGUGCAGGAUGAAGGCCCUCGGGUUGUAAACCUCUUUCAGCAGGGAAGAAGCGAAAGUGACGGUACCUGCAGAAGAAGUACCGGCUAACUACGUG